rnacentral:misc_RNA from 1 species
AACGGUCUAUACCUGCGGUACCUGCGGAGGGAUCAUUAAUGAAACUCAAGUCGGCCCUCUGUGCUGGUGGCAACACAUGUGCACGUCGGUCGCAAAUCCACACACCUGUGCACCUUUGACUUUGGGAUCCGCCGGUCUUAUGGACUCGCAGCAGGCAGGCUUUGUGCUCGCCUGGGUCUCAGAGUAAUUUUUACAUACACCUGAAUGUAAUGGAAUGUCUCUGUGCUUAAUGCGCAUUUA